UCCAGGCCCUACGGGGCGCAGCAGGCGCGAAACCUCCGCAAUGCGGGAAACCGCGACGGGGGGACCCCGAGUGCCGUGGCACCGCCACGGCUUUUCCGGAGUGUAAAAAGCUCCGGGAAUAAGGGCUGGGCAAGGCCGGUGGCAGCCGCCGCGGUAAUACCGGCGGCCCGAGUGGUGGCCGCUAUUAUUGGGCCUAAAGCGUCCGUAGCCGGGCCCGUAAGUCCCUGGCGAAAUCCCACGGCUCAACCGUGGGGCUUGCUGGGGAUACUGCGGGCCUUGGGACCGGGAGAGGCGGGGGGUACCCCUGGGGUAGGGGUGAAAUCCUAUAAUCCCAGGGGGACCGCCAGUGGCGAAGGCGCCCCGCUGGAACGGGUCCGACGGUGAGGGACGAAGGCCAGGGGAGCAAACCGGAUUAGAUACCCGGGUAGUCCUGGCUGUAAAGGAUGCGGGCUAGGUGUCGGGUGAGCUUCGAGCUCGCCCGGUGCCGUAGGGAAGCCGUUAAGCCCGCCGCCUGGGGAGUACGGCCGCAAGGCUGAAACUUAAAGGAAUUGGCGGGGGAGCACUACAAGGGGUGGAGCGUGCGGUUUAAUUGGAUUCAACGCCGGG
rnacentral:rRNA from 1 species